rnacentral:rRNA from 1 species
ACCUUUGGAUUAUGACAAGUUUUCAUGUUUAAUAAAAGCCUUGUCCUUCAUGGACAGCAGUAACGCCCCGUUCAUUGAGUCAGUGUAUCUUAUUGGUAACCUUAAGCAGGUGAAAGCAGGCAAUGAACCAUGUAUACUUGGGGUGUUACAUAGACUGAGGAGCAAAAGGAGGAAUCCGCCCAAGGAGGGGCUUGUGUCUGAUUAGCUAGUUGGUGGGGCAAUAACUUAGCAAGGCAACUAUCAGUAGCUGGUCCGAGAGGAUGAUAAGCCACACUGGGACUGAUACACAACCCAGACUCCUAUGGGAGGCAGCAGUGAGGAAUUUUCCGCAAUGGGCGAAAGCCUGACGGAGCAAUGCCGUGUGGAGGCAGANNNNNNNNNNNUUGUGAGCUUCUUUUCUCGAAGAAGAAGUAAUGACGGUAUCUGGGGAAUAAGCAUCAGCUAACUCUGUGCCAGCAGCCGCAGUAAGACAGACGAUGUAAGUGUUGUCUGGAAUGAUUGGGCAUAAAGUGCCUAUAGGUGGCUUUUUAAGUCCCUCGUUCAAUCCCAGGACUCAUCCCUUGACAGGCGGUGGAAACUGAGAGGCUGGAGUAUGGUAGGGGCAGAGGGAAUUUCCGGUGAAGCGAUUAAAUGCGUAGAGAGUGAAAAGAACACCAAUGGCGAAAGCACUCUGUUGAACCGAUACUGACACUUAGAGACGAAAGCUAUAGGAGCGAAUGGGAUGAGGUACCCCACUAGUCCUAGCCAUAAACGAUGGAUACUAGGCACUGUGUGUAUCGACCCUUAUAGUGUUGUAGCUAACGUGUUAAGUAUCCCGCCUGUAUAUUCGCAAGAAUAAAACUCAAAGGAAUUGACGGGGGCCCGCACAAGCGGUGGAGCAUGUGGUUUAAUUUGAUGCAAAGCGAAGAACCUUACCAGGGCUUAACAUGCCGUGAAUCCUCUUGAAAGAGAGGGGUGCCUUCAGGAACACGAACACAGAUGGUACAUGGCUAUCAUCGGUUUGUGUCAUAAGGUGUUGAGUUAAGUCCCACAAUGAGUGCAGACCUCGUGUUUAGUUGCCAACGUUGAGUUCAGAACCCUGAAUUGACUGCUAGUGGUAAGUCGAGGGAAGGCGAGGAUGUUGUCCAGUCAUCAUACCCCUUAUGCCCUUUGCGACACACAUGCUACAAUGGCCGGGACAAAGGGUCGUGAUCCUGCGAGGGUGAGCUAACCACUAAAACCCGUCCUCAGUUCCGAUUGUAGGCUGCAACUCGCCUGUAUGAAGCAAGAACCGCUAGUAAUUGCCAGUCAGCCAUAUGGCAGUGAAUUCGUUCUCAGGCCUUGCACACACCUCCCGUCACACUAAGGAAGCUGGCCAUGUUCGAACUCCGCACCUUAACUGCAGCAAGGAAAGGGAUGCCGAAGGCAGGAUUAGUGACUGGAGUGAAGUCAUAACAAGGUAGUCAUACUGGAAGUUACGACUA